AGUGGCGGACGGGUGAGUAACGCGUAAGAAUCUAACUUCAGGACGGGGACAACAGUGGGAAACGACUGCUAAUACCCGAUGUGCCGCGAGGUGAAACCUAAUUGGCCUGAAGAAGAGCUUGCGUCUGAUUAGCUAGUUGGUGGGGUAAGAGCCUACCAAGGCGACGAUCAGUAGCUGGUCUGAGAGGAUGAGCAGCCACACUGGGACUGAGACACGGCCCAGACUCCUACGGGAGGCAGCAGUGGGGAAUUUUCCGCAAUGGGCGAAAGCCUGACGGAGCAACGCCGCGUGAGGGAGGAAGGUCUUUGGAUUGUAAACCUCUUUUCUCAAGGAAGAAGUUCUGACGGUACUUGAGGAAUCAGCCUCGGCUAACUCCGUGCCAGCAGCCGCGGUAAUACGGGGGAGGCAAGCGUUAUCCGGAAUUAUUGGGCGUAAAGCGUCCGCAGGUGGUCAGCCGAGUCUGCCGUCAAAUCAGGUUGCUUAACGACCUAAAGGCGGUGGAAACUGGCAGACUAGAGAGCAGUAGGGGUAGCAGGAAUUCCCAGUGUAGCGGUGAAAUGCGUAGAGAUUGGGAAGAACAUCGGUGGCGAAAGCGUGCUACUGGGCUGUAUCUGACACUCAGGGACGAAAGCUAGGGGAGCGAAAGGGAUUAGAUACCCCUGUAGUCCUAGCCGUAAGCGAUGGAUACUAGGCGUGGCUU
rnacentral:rRNA from 1 species